ACUCCUACGGGAGGCAGCAGUAGGGAAUAUUGGACAAUGGGCGAAAGCCUGAUCCAGCAAUGCCGCGUGAGUGAUGAAGGCCUUAGGUUGUAAAGCUCUUUUACCCGUAGAUGAUAAUGACAGUAUCGGGAGAAUAAGCUCCGGCUAACUCCGUGCCAGCAGCCGCGGUAAUACGGAGGGGAGCUAGCGUUGUUCGGAAUUACUGGGCGUAAAGCGCACGUAGGCGGCGAUUUAAGUCAGAGGUGAAAGCCCGGGGCUCAACCCCGGAACUGCCUUUGAGACUGGAUUGCUAGAAUCUUGGAGAGGCGAGUGGAAUUCCGAGUGUAGAGGUGAAAUUCGUAGAUAUUCGGAAGAACACCAGUGGCGAAGGCGGCUCGCUGGACAAGUAUUGACGCUGAGAUGCGAAAGCGUGGGGAGCAAACAGGAUUAGAUACCCUGGUAGACUGUCA
rnacentral:rRNA from 1 species